rnacentral:rRNA from 1 species
UACGGGGGGAGCAAGCGUUGUUCGGAUUUACUGGGCGUAAAGGGCGCGUAGGCGGUCAGCACAAGUCAGUUGUGAAGUCUCCGGGCUUAACUCGGAAAGGUCAACUGAUACUGUGCGACUAGAGUGCGGAAGGGGCAACUGGAAUUCCAGGUGUAGCGGUGAAAUGCGUAGAUAUCUGGAGGAACACCGGUGGCGAAGGCGGCAUCCUGGACCGGCAUUGACGCUGAGGCGCGAAAGCCAGGGGAGCAAACGGG